rnacentral:rRNA from 1 species
AGGUCCCGAAGUACAGGUUAAGUGGAAAAGGAUGUGACGAUGCAAAGACAACCAGGAUGUUGGCUCAGAAGCAGCCACGCAUUAAAAGAGUGCGUAAUAGCUCACUGGUCGAGUGACGUUGCGCCGAAAAUUAACGGGGCUCAAACCUGACACCGAAGCUUAGGAAUACUUUAAAGAGUAUUGGUAGAGGAGCAAUGUAUACGAGAAGAAGGCGUACCGGAAGGAGCGCUGGAUUGUAUAGAAGAGAGAAUGCCGGCAUAAGUAGCGAGAGCGGAGCGAGAAACUCCGCCGUCGAAAGUCUGAGGUUUUCCGGGGAAGGUUCGUCCGCCCGGAGAAAGUCGGGACCUAAGCGGAGGCCGAAAGGCGUACGUGAUGGACAGCAGGUUGAUAUUCCUGCACUACCGAGAGAGAUAAUGAAGCAAUGACACGGAAAGAUAGAAGAAGCGCGCGGAUGGAAAAGCGCGUCCAAGCAAAGAGGGUGGCUGGUAGUAAAGAACGCCAGUCGGAAGCCUGAUUUGUGACGGGGAGUGGACCAAGGAAACGAAGUCUUUGAAUCUACGCCGGCGAGAAAAGUUGCUAAAUAUUUCGAGGUACCCGUACCGCAAACCGACACAGGUAGACGAGAAGAAAAUUCUAAGACGAACGGGAGAACCCUUGUUAAGGAACUCGGCAAAACGACCCCGUAACUUCGGGAGAAGGGGAGCCAUCGAGAGAUGGCCGCAGUGAAGAGGCCCAAGCGACUGUUUAUCAAAAACACAGGUUUCUGCUAAGGCGAAAGCCAAGGUAUAGGAGCUGACUCCUGCCCAGUGCCGGAAGGUCAAGGGGACUUGUUAGCAGCAAUGCGAAGCAACGAACUUAAGCCCCGGUGAACGGCGGCCGUAACUAUAACGGUCCUAAGGUAGCGAAAUUCCUUGUCGGGUAAGUUCCGACCCGCACGAAUGGAGUAACGAUUUGGGCGCUGUCUCAACAGGGGGCCCGGCGAAAUUGUAGUAUACGUGAAGAUGCGUAUUAACCCGCGACUGGACGGAAAGACCCCGUAGAGCUUUACUGUAGCUUGAUAUUGAAUCUCGGCAACUGAUGCACAGAAUAGGUGGGAGACUGAGAAGCAGCGUUUUCGGGCGCUGCGGAGUCAACUUUGGGAUACCACUCUUCGGUUGCUGCGAUUCUAACCGAAAACCGUGAAACCGGGUUCGGGACAUUGUCAGGCGGGCAGUUUGACUGGGGCGGUCGCCUCCUAAAGAGUAACGGAGGCGCUCAAAGGUUCCCUCAGAAUGGUUGGAAAUCAUUCGACGAGUGUAAAGGUAUAAGGGAGCUUGACUGUGAGACUGACAAGUCGAACAGGUGCGAAAGCAGGACUUAGUGAUCAGGUGGUAUGAGAAUGGAAUUGCCAUCGCUUAACGGAUAAAAGUUACCUCGGGGAUAACAGGCUUAUCUCCCCCAAGAGUUCACAUCGACGGGGAGGUUUGGCACCUCGAUGUCGGCUCGUCACAUCCUGGGGCUGAAGCAGGUCCCAAGGGUUCGGCUGUUCGCCGAUUAAAGUGGCACGCGAGCUGGGUUCAAAACGUCGUGAGACAGUUUGGUCCCUAUCCAUCGUGGGCGUAGGAUAUUUGAGAGGGUUUGUCCUUAGUACGAGAGGACCGGGAUGAACGCACCUACCGUGCAUCUGUUGUCGCGCCAGCGGCAUGGCAGAGUAGCGGAGUGCGGUUGAGAUAAACGCUGAAAGCAUCUAAGCGUGAAACUCGCCUCAAGAUAAGAUAUCCCAUAUCGUAAGGUAGUAAGACCCCUUGCAGACGACAAGGUUGAUAGGUCGGAGAUGGAAGCGCAGUAAUGCGUGCAGUUGACCGAUACUAAUAGGUCGAGGGCUUGAUCUC